rnacentral:lncRNA from 1 species
GGCGCGCUACUGUACGCAGGCUCGGCGGGGAGUUCGUGGCGGCUGCCGAGGCCACCCCCGCGCUCCCCGCACCCACGCGAGGCGACGCGUACACACGCACACCCUCGCUGGGGGUCCCUCCCGGGUGCUGACCCCAGCACUGCAGCAACGCGCUUGGUUGCAGUGCGGUUCGCCGGGUUUUGCAGCGCGCAGAGGUGCCACAGGCGGCCACAGUCCGGAGACCCAGAAGGAGAAAUAAGGACCCAGCCCGUGAGCUGCGCCAGGAGAGGCCUAGGCACCAGCUACAGGGAGGCGCCUGGCGUGCCUUGGAAACACAGCUGCCGCCGCGAGGCUCCGGGGCCGGUCCCAGCUGUGGGAAGCCGCCCACGGCCAAAGCUCCGCUUCCCGGGCAGGGGUGGGAGUCGGCCGCAAGGGGGCCGGAGGGCCCGGGACCCCCAAGGCCUGGUUGUCAGCUACAGCGAAAGACGCUGAUCCGUUUAUUAAGACCUGACGAUGCUCCACCACCCGACUGCUGUGUUUUCAGCGUUUUCCUUUAUUAGUGUUUUCGGCCGCGUCCGGCUCGGCUCCUAGCG